rnacentral:rRNA from 1 species
UACGGGGGGGGGCAAGCGUUGUUCGGAAUUACCGGGCGUAAAGGGCUCGUAGGCGGCCAACUAAGUCAGACGUGAAAUCCCUAGGCUCAACCUAGGAACUGCGUCUGAUACUGGAUGGCUUGAAUCCGGGAGAGGGAUGCAGAAUUCCAGGUGUAGCGGUGAAAUGCGUAGAUAUCUGGAGGAAUACCGGUGGCGAAGGCGGCAUCCUGGACCGGCAUUGACGCUGAGGAGCGAAAGCCAGGGGAGCAAACGGG